GUACCCACAUGUACAUGAAGACUUCCAUUAUCCUCAUGUUGGUGACCCUCCCGACCUGGAGGUGCAUCCUUGGGGAUAUGGCCUUCUUGCUCUCACUGUCUCACCUCCCGAUAGCCCACACUCCAGUCAGCUGGCCUGAGCACAAAUGAGUUACUUUACCUGGGUGUAAAAAUGUAUCAGCCUCUUAACUAUAAAUAUGAAGGCAGCUAAUAUGGUAUUUUUGUUUCCUUAAAAACAUACCAUUUCAGAAAUUCCCAAUUGUGUUAUGAUUAUUGGGGUUUAUAUCCUGUAUCCCCUGUUAAUUUGGGGGUUUCUGAAUGGGAAGUGUUAAUACAUUUCAUAUACUCCAUUGUUUCAUCCAGACAAUCUGCCACACAGUCUUGCAUGUGGUAGAUAUUAAAUAACAACCUGCCAAGUAAAUGAGUAGUUGCUAAGAUCAAGAAGACCUAGCUUCUCUAGGACUUAGGACCCUUAAUUUGUGCUCAGAGCUCAUAGUUUUGAGCCUUAUCUUAACUAGAUGAGAGGCAGGAUAAAAAUUGUAUAUUGUUAUCAUCCUAGAGAUGAGGCUUUAAGUGAAAAGCACCUAGUUAAAAAGAAACAUAGUUUCGAGACCUUUUAUGUAGCUUUAAAGGUGAGAUAAUCCUUUAACAGGAAAAA
rnacentral:lncRNA from 1 species